UACCGAGGUCUCAAGCGUUGUUCGGAUUCCUUGGGCGUAAAGGGUGCGUAGGCGGCGCGGUAAGUCGGGUGUGAAAUCUCGGAGCUUAACUCCGAAACUGCAUUCGAUACUGCCGUGCUUGAGGACUGGAGAGGAGACUGGAAUUUACGGUGUAGCGGUGAAAUGCGUAGAUAUCGUAAGGAAGACCAGUGGCGAAGGCGGGUCUCUGGACAGUUCCUGACGCUGAGGCACGAAGGUCAGGGGAGCAAACGGG
rnacentral:rRNA from 1 species